rnacentral:lncRNA from 1 species
ACAUGCAAACAAAAUGGAAAUACAUUUAGUUUAAGAAGUGAUGAAUUGUGUUUGCUUUCAUUAUUCUCAUUUUGUAUGUAGGAGAACAGAGAUCAAGCACAUCCACGAAAAGGAUGGCUGGUUGGGAUUGCAUCUGUGAAGCAACAUGCUCACCGACGAACAGAUUUCAAGUCAACCACAAAUGGCUACAAGCUUGGCAGGGGACUCAAGGCAGUGGCUGGCAAGUUCUGCCAGGCUUGGGGGCAGGAGCACUGUGGCUUCCUGGGAAUGUCACGGGCAAACAGUCACCAGCAAACCCUGGGCAAGCACAGUCCUAUUUUUCCUCAAGCACUGAAGUGUUAAAAGAAGAAAUUCAGCAGACCUCCAAUAUACUAGAGGUCAAGAAGUAGAAGCUGAAAAAAAAAUCUGCUGUUGUUUGUUUAGACAGACAAAUCUAUAAAUCAGCUUUUUGUGUAUCGGCAUCACAACAAAAAUGAGUCAAGCUCACUUCGUAACCAAGCACGCUGAACAGUGAACACCUUUGCAAAAACAGAAUUAAAGAAGAAAACAUAAUCGUGAUGUAUUUCAAAUAUAUUAGUCUCCUAUAAAAGUAUAGUUGUUAAUAUUGAUUUGCUAUUAAUUGCGGCAGAGGUAUAUUCUAGGUGCUUGCAGUUUCCUGACAGAAGUCAUACAAUGCACAGCCAUAUAUUCAUGUUAGUAUUCUUCCUACAAACAUGGAAAGUCAGAAUUUUUUCUCAAAAUUAUUCUGCACAGCUCUACCACUGAGCAGCUGAUAGGAAAAACCCACUAAAUGAAGUUGCUCCUUUUCUAAGCUUAGAGGAGGCUUUGUUGCUUGGUGGGAAGGAGGGGGGGAGCUGUAUUUUUUUGUUUGUUUGCUUUGAGAGAAUAGAUCAUAUUUGAGAUCAGAUAGUUCUCAGAAAUAGCCCAGGAAAUGUGUUUUUCUUUCCUUAACAUUAUCAGUGUUGAAAAGUUAGUCUCUUACCCCAGCAAACACAACUUUAUGUUGUUCAGAUGAGAAUAGCUAUUGUAUUUCUUUUUAUGAAUACUCAAUUCUAGUACUCAGCAUGUGGUACAGACCUUUUGUUGUUUUUUAUUAUUCUUUGACUUCUUUUGCUAUAUACACACACUCUCAUGCUUGCACGCUCACAGACAUAUGCACCCCCUUAACACAGAUGACUUUGCAGAAAGGAGCUGGAUAGAGAGACCACAAUACCUAUGUGAGUACGGUAAUUCACUGCAAUAUGAAUUAUAAUAUACUUGCUGUUACCAGAAUUAAGAAUCUCAAUGAAAAAUAAAAGACAAUGUUGAAGUAGUGCUCUGUAUCCU